UUUUACAAAAACAAAUGUAGACUCAAUUUCCCGAAGCUAGAAGAGCUAAUAUUUAUUAAUUCUGCUAGGACCCAAUAAAUUUUCUGUGGCAUUAGGAAAAAAGUAAAUUAAUAUUAGGAGUGAAACGCUAUCACUUUUGGGGAUAUCUGGAUAAUUCUUAAAUACAUUUAGUGUAUAAAAAAAAUUUAUUUGGUGUUAAGAUCAUGUAAUAGAAAAUUAAUCUUAAAAGUAUUUACCUUUUCUAAUAAUCUUAAAUGAGGUGAUGUUUUAAAUUAACUAUAUUAGCGGUGUAAUUACUAUUCUAAGUUUUAAUUUAUAGCUAAAUAGAUUAGCAGAAAAGAUAAUGUAAAAAUUAGUAUUUAAAUAAUAAUCGCUUAAGGAACUCGACAAAUAUACUCUCCGACUGUUUAGCAAAAACAUAGCGACAUGAAUUAAUAUGUGGUUGUACCUGCCCGGUGAUAUGUUUUAACGGCCGCAGUACUCUGACUGUGCAAAGGUAGCAUAAUAAUUUGGCUUUUAAUUGGGGUCUAGAAUAAAAGGGGGAACGGGGGGAAGUUGUCUCAAGUGAUCUUUAAGUAAUUUAAUUAAUAAGUGAAAAUACUUAUACGCAAAUAAAAGACGAGAAGACCCUUAGAAUUUUAAGAAAAAUCUUCUUAGGAAGAUAAACUUUUUGUUGGGGCAACAGAUAUUCAAUAGAAAUAACAUUAUAUAUUUUCAAUUUAUGUGCCGAUUAUAUAUUAUUAAAUAAAUUACCUAAGGGAUAACAGCAUAAUCUUCUUUAAGGUUUGUGACCUCGAUGUUGGACUAGGGAUUAUAAGUACUAGCCGUAUUUAUAGAAGGUUCUGUUCGAACUUUUUCCCCUACAUGAUCUGAGUUCAGACCGG
rnacentral:rRNA from 1 species